CUUCUGUUGAACUUCAUGAUGGUUCCUCACAGGUUCUUUGUGCUGUCUUUUCUGCUGGUGCUCAUCUCUCAUGCGUUCGGGUCUCCGGUUGAACGGGAGCUGGUACGUGAGGAUGGGCUCCUACUGGUCAGAGACUACAGAGAUACCCAUAAUACCUUGGGGGAGAAGAAGCUGAUGCUCUGGGAUGGAGAUGAAGGUUCUGGAGCUUCUGCAGGAGUGGUGGAGAUGAAGGGCAGGUGAAAAGAGCUCAGCUGUCCAAGAGUCGACUUCUAUCAACGUCCCACAAUCCUGCAGCGUCUGCGUGUGGUGGUCAGUCAGUGCAUGAGCUCAUGGCUCCAUGAGCUCUUGGCUCCACCAGCUCAACACCUCCACACUUCAUUUCUGAAUAAACUUCAGGCAUUCCUCA